CCCCAACCCACACAACGCCGCCGCAAGGAACCUCUUCCCUCCUCUCGCUCGCUCGGUGGUGAAUCCUCUCUUCCUUGAUCGAAUGGGGCGCGCGAGGGAGCCGAUCCGCGUGAGGUGAUCCAGCGCGGCGCGCUCCAGUCGAGGCGCGCGAGGGGAGACGAGGCACGCGAGAGGAUCCAGUGGACAUGCAGGAGGCGGGUGAAUCGGGGGUCGGCCGAUCGAGCUGAUGCGGGCGAUCCAAUUGCGAAGAAGCCAUGGUUUACGCUUAGGGUCGCGCACGUCCUACACUGUGGGCAUACCGGCAGCCUACCUGCUAGACUAUAAGUGCUGCACGUUGGCGUGAUGGCCGGUCCCGUUGUUCUUGGCCAUCACAUUCCACACCAACUGGCAGAAUGAGGCUGUGCAACUGACCGAAGCAAAAGAAAAGGACUUCAGGUGCUGAUUCUAAUUGGGUCCCAUAAAGUGCCUCUCUAUUGGUAACUUUGCACCUAGGAGUAGGAAUAUGCAAAC